CCAUGCGGACAAAAAUUCGGGGGGAAGAGAAAAGUUGAGCCGCUCCAACUCUGAAGUCCGACGGCCUGAACAAUCCUGACCAUCACCGCCGCCUGCCCGCCUCCGCUCCGCCGUUUCCCGCCCAAAUCCCCACCGCCGCGCCGCCCAAAUGUCGGGGAAGAAGGAGGAGGAGGAGGAGGAGGAGGAGGACGCCCAGGUGAAUGCGCUUGCGUGCUUCCUCCACGAUACCUACUCCGACAGCUUUCGCAGCAUCCUCCUCGACGACGAUCCCUCGAAGCUCCAUUUCCCGCUCGUUAUUGAAUUCGCGGAACUUAUGGACUUCGACCCCAAGUUCGCCGGGAAACUCUACUCCAGUCCCGACAAGUACCUCCCCUUCCUCGACAAGGCCGCUAAAUGGGUCAAGGAUAAGAUGCUCGAGAAAUUGCUCGAGGAAUUGGGUGAUUUGAAACACGCAGUACCAAGGAAGUACGUGCGCGUACGUAUCGACGUCUCUGGAUCACCGCUAGAAUUCCCUGAGGCGUCCCCGAGUAUUGGAAAGGUGAGGGUGAAUCACAUGAGGAAGUUGAUUACUCUGAAGGGAACUGUGAUAAGAUCAGGCGGAGUCAAGAUGAUUGAGUAUGAAAGGGACUACAUGUGCAGGAAGUGCCAGCACAGUUUCUCGGUUUGUCCUGAGCUGGAGGCUGGGAAUCGCAUAAACCUUCCUGCAUUGUGCCCAUCAAAGAGUUCAAGAGGCUGUGGAAGUGCUUCUUUCCAGUUCAUAGAAGGUAGUACCGUCUGCCGUGAUUACCAAGAAAUUAAAAUUCAGGAAAACGUACAACUUCUGGGUGUUGGAUCUAUACCCCGUUCAAUACCUGUAGUUUUGAUGGAUGACCUUGUUGAUAGCAUUAAAGCUGGAGAUGAUGUUAUUAUUACGGGCAUAUUAUCUGCCAAAUGGUCUCCUGAUAUUAAGGAUGUGCGAUCCAACCUUGAUCCUAUGCUGCUUGCCAAUUAUGUGAGGAGCACAAAUGAGCUGAAAUCUGAUAUAGACAUUCCUGCGGAAACUGAAGAGGAGUUUAAGCAUUUCUGGGAAAAAUACAGGCUUACUCCACUAAAAGGAAGAAAUUUUAUCUUGGAAGGCAUCUGUCCUCAAAUUUUUGGGCUAUUCACAGUGAAGCUUUCAGUUGCUCUUACAUUAAUUGGUGGAGUGCAGCAUGUUGACGCUUCUGGAACAAAGGUUCGUGGAGAACCCCAUAUGCUUCUUGUUGGUGAUCCAGGUACUGGUAAAUCCCAGUUUUUAAAGUUUGCUGCUAAAUUGAGCAACCGCUCUGUGAUUACAACUGGUCUUGGAAGCACCAGUGCUGGUUUAACUGUCACAGCUGUCAAGGAUGGAGGAGAGUGGAUGCUUGAGGCUGGUGCUCUUGUUCUGGCUGAUGGUGGUUUAUGCUGCAUUGAUGAAUUUGACAGCAUGCGAGAGCACGACAGAACAACAAUACAUGAAGCCAUGGAGCAACAGACAAUAAGUAUUGCAAAGGCUGGACUAGUUACAACACUCAGUACAAGGACUACUGUUUUUGGUGCCACAAAUCCAAAAGGGCAAUACGACCCUGAUGAAAGCUUAUCUGUGAAUACAACACUUUCAGGACCGUUGUUGAGUAGAUUUGAUAUAGUUCUUGUUCUCUUGGAUACACAAAAUACUGAUUGGGAUAAAAUCGUUUCAUCUCAUAUAUUGAAGGAGAAUUUUGAUGAAAAGAAAGACAAGACAAAUGCUUCUGAUGCAAAAUGGAUGCUCCCCAAGUUGAGAAGGUACAUCAACUAUGUAAAGCGGUUUAAACCAGUUCUGACAAAGGAGGCAGAAAGAGUUAUCUCAAGUUAUUAUCAGCUUCAGAGAAAAUCAGGAACACAUAAUGCAGCACGAACGACGGUACGCAUGCUUGAAAGUUUGAUAAGGCUUGCACAAGCACAUGCAAGGCUAAUGUUCAGAAAUGAGGUUAAACAACUUGACGCCAUUGCUGCCAUAUUGUGCAUUGAAUCCUCCACGACAACAUCUCCAAUAGUGGACACUGUUGGAAAUGCUCUGCACUCAAAUUUUACAGAAAACCCUGAUGAAGAAUGUAUCCUAACAUGCGAUUUGGAUUCAAGUCAUUUUAUCAGUAAAAUCUCCCUAAAAACUUCAAACUGAAUUCUCUUUGUUUUUUUUGUUUUGUUGUAUCUUCAAAAAUAUUAGUCUAUUUCUUCAGCAUGCCUGUGGAAGCAAGGAUAUACAUUAGAGGCAUCUAUUCUCCCCUGUAAAUAUUAAUUCUGCUGCAGAAUGUAUGUCCUGCUGAUAACUGGAUCCUUGCCACUUGGGAUGCUUCCAUCAUAAAUACAGCUAAGGAUGCAAAUAAAACACAGGAGAAGAAGAUCCUUAAGAAGCUUGGGCUAAUUGAAGGUUCCCCAUAAUUCAAUACAAAUCAUCAGCUGCUGCAUCUCAAGGUGAACUUGCUAAGGCCAUGGUUGGAUGAGGUCUACCUUUGCAGCUCAUGGUUGGAUGGGCGUUAUAACAUUUGCAGUUCAUGGUGUAUAUACCUCAUAUAACCAUUUUGCAGUCUGUAUCAGAUAGGCAUUGUAACGUGUAACAUUUUUCUUUUGCCACUCAGGAUUUUAUCUUAUGAUAUCUAUCUGUUCAAAUUGAAAUAAUUUUAACUCGCUGAGUUUGUCCUCCUUUGUCAA